ACUCAUGCUUGCUUUGGUAGCACAUAAAGUUGGAACAAUAGAGAGAUUGGCAUGGCCUCUGUGCAAGAAAGACAUGCAAAUUUGUGAAGCAUUCCAUAUUUUU
rnacentral:snRNA from 1 species